CCUGAUGUGUACCCAUCAGUUCACUAGGUCGGCAUGCUCUGGGGACCAACCCUGGGGUAUGAAGCCCGGCUAACAAUGUCUCUCCUUUUUAGGAAAUGCAUCCGGUGACGGUAUGCAUAAGGCUUCGAAUUGCCCGGAGUCUGGAGG
rfam:Pseudomonas pseudoalcaligenes KF707 = NBRC 110670 strain KF707 ctg10002, whole genome shotgun sequence.